UAAUAGCUCACUAGUCGAGAGGUCCUGCGCCGAAAAUGUCCGGGGCUGAAACACGACACCGAAGCUUAGGAAUCGAAAGAUUGGUAGAGGAGCAUUGAAUACGGAACGAAGCAGUACCGGAAGGAGCUGUGGACUGUAUUGAAGAGAGAAUGCCGGAAUGAGUAGCGAGAUUUAAGUGAGAAUCUUAAAGGCCGAAUAUCUAAGGUUUCCAGGGUAAAGCUGAUCUUCCCUGGGUAAGUCGGGGCCUAAGGCGAGGACGAAAGUCGUAGUCGAUGGAUAACAGGUUGAAAUUCCUGUACCGCAUAUAUUCAGAAAUGUGGGGACACAGAUGGAGAGUACAGCCCGGGAAUGGAUAGACCGGGGCAAGCGAGGUAGGAGAAUGGCAGGCAAAUCCACCAUUCAAUCUGAAGACGUGACGCGUACCGAACAAGAGUAGGGAAGUGUAUGAGCCAGCUGUCGAGAAAAGCCGCUAUUGUGAUAUAUGCGCCCGUACCGUAAACCGACACAGGUGGAUGAGGAGAGAAUCCUAAGGCCGGCGGGAGAAGUGUUGUUAAGGAACUCGGCAAAAUGACCCCGUAACUUCGGGAGAAGGGGUGCCUCGGAAGAGGCCGCAGAGAAAUGGCCCAAGCAACUGUUUAGCAAAAACAUAGGUCUAUGCAAAACCGAAAGGUGAGGUAUAUGGGCUGACGCCUGCCCGGUGCUGGAAGGUUAAGAGGAGAGCUUAGCGCAAGCGAAGGUUUGAAUUUAAGCCCCAGUAAACGGCGGCCGUAACUAUAACGGUCCUAAGGUAGCGAAAUUCCUUGUCGGGUAAGUUCCGACCCGCACGAAAGGCGUAAUGAUUUGGGCACUGUCUCAACAACACACCCGGUGAAAUUGAAAUACCAGUGAAGAUGCUGGUUACCUGCGCCAGGACGGAAAGACCCCAUGGAGCUUUACUCCAGCUUGAUACUGGGAUUCGGUACUACCUGUACAGGAUAGGUGGGAGGCUAUGAUCACGGGACGCCAGUUUCGUGUGAGCCGCUGUUGGGAUACCACCCUUGUAGUACUGGAUUCCUAACCUACAGCCGUGAACCGGCUGGGGGACAAUGUCUGGCGGGGAGUUUGACUGGGGCGGUCGCCUCCGAAAGGGUAUCGGAGGCGCUCAAAGGUUCCCUCAGAAUGGUUGGAAACCAUUCGAAGAGUGCAAAGGCAGAAGGGAGCUUGACUGCGACACCGACGGGUGGAGCAGGUACGAAAGUAGGACUUAGUGAUCCGGUGGUAUAAAGUGGGAUUGCCAUCGCUCAACGGAUAAAAGCUACCCUGGGGAUAACAGGCUUAUCACUCCCAAGAGUUCACAUCGACGGAGUGGUUUGGCACCUCGAUGUCGGCUCAUCGCAUCCUGGAGCUGUAGCAGGUUCCAAGGGUUGGGCUGUUCGCCCAUUAAAGCGGUACGCGAGCUGGGUUCAGAACGUCGUGAGACAGUUCGGUCC
rnacentral:rRNA from 1 species